UGUCUCUCUAUAUAUAACUUCCAUCCACUCCAAAUUCUUUUACUUCACCAACAAAGAGCUACCAUCAAGAUUUUCGCCCUCUCUUCAUCCUCUCCAAAAUUUCUUCCAAUCCUUGUUCUUGCAUCCAUUGGAGUUUGAUUUUCAAGAGUUCCCGACGAAUCGCAUCAAUCUUUGCUUCUACCGCUUGGUUUUCGAUUCAAGAAGGUUGAGCAGUGAUGACGGCAGGCGAUGUUGAGCAUAGACGAUGAAGAUCCUUCAAUAGAAUAGUACUCGGAUGCGACGUGUCUCCAUACACAACGUUAUCUGCUCUUGACUCUUCCACUGCACUGCAAAAGUCGAGUUUGCACUCUGAUAUAUACUAUGUGAGUUAUUUCGGUUCAAGCUUCAGUUGUGCCACAGUUUCCCCUUUCUUCCCCGCUUCUUUCAUCCUCCCCUAGUCGCGAUCAACCGUAUUUUCUAUCCUUAGAAAAUGCGGUCGUGACAGAGUGGUAUCAGAGCAUUUUUUCUUUCCACUCUAGACCCGAGAGUCUUUUUCAUUCUUAGUCUAGAUUCAAUUCGCUAGACUAAAACAAGAUUAAAUUUGGAAGGCUCAACACCCCGCUUCGCCACGCUCAACCAAGAAAGAGGUAAUAUUUUUUUUAUGUGAAAAUUUUUAUGAGAAAGUUUCGGAGAAAGGACGAUGAGAAAAUUUUUGAGAAAGAAAGAGGAGAAAAUUUUUAUACGAAGGAGGAAGUAGAAUCUUUCUGUGAGGGAUUGAUUUCGAGUUGAUAAGAGUAUUGGCUAAUGUUUGAGAAAAGAACGAGUUUUGAUGAGGGACGAUGGAUUGUUUGUUUUUACAUGAAAGAUGAAAGUUGAUAUUCUAACUAUGAAUGACUUUAAAUGUGAUAGUUGUUGAUCUAUGAGGUGGUGAAAUGUGUUGUGAAAUUAGAGUGCCUAAGACUAAGCUAGAUGGAAUGUGCGCGAACCAUAGUUGUAAGUUGACAAUUUAUCUAUCGCUUUCCCGAGCGAUGAAAACGAACGAGAAAGGGAAGAGGGGCGAAAUUCCUAGAUUACCAAGAUACGAGACAAGGAGAUCGAGAGUGCGAAUGGAGGCCGGUGAACCAUGAAACUUUUUCUAUUCUUUGGAAUGGCGCGGAACGUUGAAGCAAGCUUAGUGUGUGAACUAUUUUACUAUUUUCUAUCGUUUUUCGUGAAUGAUAAGGACAAAAGAAAUACGAGGAAGAUUUCAAGAAGAUGAUGAUAGAGAAGACGAAAUGAAGCUUCAAAAAAAAAAGGAGCGAAACAAGAAGAGCUGAUGCUAAGUGAUGUAGCUAAAUUCUCUCCACCAUCUUCCAAAAUCAAACUACGUAUUUGCAGUGAACAUUGGCGAACUUCUGCGUAGAAGAUAAAGACGAUUUCUGCAAAACGCUUGAAGAUAUUGUAAAAAUAAUGAAUGA